AAGAUUCGCUCGGCGUACAUAAUGUAUUGCGCUAUCGGGAUGUAAGUCGGACUGACAGUCCGACCUACUGGAAGCCCAGCAAGCUAGAACCAAAUCAGAUACUGCGAGAGCCAAGUCCAUUAUUCAAAAAGUUGGAUGAAAGCG
rnacentral:misc_RNA from 1 species